UACGGGGGGGGCAAGCGUUGUUCGGAAUUACUGGGCGUAAAGGGCUCGUAGGCGGCCAACUAAGUCGGACGUGAAAUCCCCAGGCUCAACCUGGGAACUGCGUCCGAUACUGGAUGGCUUGAAUCCGGGAGAGGGAUGCAGAAUUCCAGGUGUAGCGGUGAAAUGCGUAGAUAUCUGGAGGAACAUCAGUGGCGAAGGCGGCCCUCUGGUCCAGUACUGACACUCAAGUGCGAAAGCGUGGGGAGCAAACAGG
rnacentral:rRNA from 1 species